rnacentral:rRNA from 1 species
UACGUAGGUGGCGAGCGUUAUCCGGAUUCAUUUGGGCGUAAAGCGCGCGUAGGCGGCCUGCUAGGUCGGGACUCAAAUCCGGGGGCUCAACCCCCGCCCGGUCCCGAUACCGACAGGCUUGAGUCUGGUAGGGGAAGGCGGAAUUCCAAGUGUAGCGGUGGAAUGCGCAGAGAUCAGGAGGAAUACCGAAGGCGAAGGCAGUCUUCCAAGCCGUUAUUGAACGCUCAACUGCGAAGGUGUGGGUAUCAAACAGGAUUAGAUACCCUGGUAGUCCCUGAG